rnacentral:lncRNA from 1 species
GUGUUUUCCACAUACUUUUGCGUUAGCAGUCCAUCAGGCCAAUAGAUGGCGCUGUUGCACUGUUGUAGCAGGAGAAACAGCAAGUUCUGGCCAAGCGCUCACCAUUCUGCAGAAUAAGGAUCAGAACUUUACUGAGGUAAACUGGGUCUGUUCUUUUUACUUUUGCAGCAGUUCAUCGUGGCCCUGUCGUUCGCCUACUUCACCAAAGCUCUGUCAGGGACCUACAUGAAGAGUGCCAUCACUCAGAGAGACACUUUGACCUGUCCGGCUCUCUCAUCGGACUCAUAGACGGCAGCUUUGAGAUGGGUAUCAACAAUAACAAUGAGUUGCUUGAGAAUUCAUGUAGUAAAAACUAGAUACACAAUACAGUAUGAUCCGUUUUUUUUGUGGUUCAGAGUCUGCUCUCAAUACUGUCCAGUUUUAUAGUUGUUCCUAUUAAUUGAUUGACUGGCGUUUGUCCAUGACUCUACUGUCAAACCCCUAACAUUGUUUUAUGUGCUGCUAUGUUGUUGCAGCCUAGUAUCCAAACUGAUAUGCCAUUUUUUGUUUAAAAAAAAAAAAAAUGCGCAUGGGUGCAGUUUCUUGUCCUCCUCGUUCCGCUGUGAAAGUACCGCACCAGCUCCGGUUUCCGAGGCGUCCACCUCUACCACAAAGGGACGAGUAGGAUCAGGAUGAACGAGGAAUGGGUUCGGAGGUGAAACGUCCCUUGAGCUCUAUGAAUGCCCUGUCAGCCUCGGGAUUCCAGCAAAAAACAGCUUGAGUGAGGUGGGACAGGGCCUUAUGUGUUCCGGAAGGGUUUUUGGAGAAGAUCAGGAUAUCGUCGAGGUAAACAAAGACGAACCGAUUCAACAUAUCCCUAAGAGUGUCAUUGAUCAAUGCUUGAAAGACUGCCGAUUUUAAGCGUUGCGGAGGUCCAGUUUGGUGAAGAAUUGGGCUCCUAGGGCCAACUCCAAGGCGGCGGACAUCGGGUUUGUUGAACAUGAGUGGAAAUGAAACUCCAGCACACUGGUAGCACUAAAGACGUUUGAGUAUAACUUCUCCAGGUGAGUUGAAGCUGCCUGUGCGUGCGGCGGGGAUAUUCCUGGGAGGUCUACUGACGAAGAGGUAUAAGCUUGGCGUUAUGUCUGGAGCCCAGCUGUCUUUCGUCACCUCCUUCAUGGCCUACCUCCUCCUCCCUCUGCAGUCUGGCACUAAGUGUGACAACGUUAAGGUGGCUUGUCUGACCGUGUCCCACAACGGGUCCCCUGGUGUACGAUGGCAGCCUGUUGUCAGAGUGUAACAGAGACUGCUCCUGCUUGGCUGGGGAGUGGGACCCUGUGUGUUCAGACAACGGCAUCACCUACACCUCCCCCUGCCUCGCAGGCUGCUCCAGCUUUACAGAGUGAUCUUCCUUGGACUCAUCACAUGUCUCAGUGGCUCCUCCUUAGGAGGGAGGGGGACAGCCCCCACACUCAUCACUAGAGAUCGAACUUCAGACUCCCUCCAAAACCACUGAACCCCUCAACACACCGAAAGAGAUUAAGGUGCACACCCGUAGAGGGAGCCGGAACAGGAUAACUCCCUCCAAACUCACAAAGACACAGAGGAGGAGGAACUAUCCAACACCCAGGGAGAGAGAACGAGUGACCUCAGUCGAACACAGUCAGAAAGAGGAGGUGGAAGAGGCGUUAGAUAGAGGAGGUUACCCCAGAGGCCAUUCCUCCUGUUAAUGUGACCAAGAAAGAGCAGAAGGCUUCUGAUCAGCCAAAUGGCAGGCAGAGGGAGAGGUCAUAGUGAUUCACACCCACAGAGAGAAAGACAACCCACACAACCUCUUAGUUGAGAUGAACCACACAGAGGUAGAGGCAGAGGGCCUUCAGGGCUAGCCAGUCAGCCUGCCUGCUCUGAUCCUCAAGUCAAUUGUAUUUAAAUUCAUGUUCAUUAAAGUUUUUUUAUUCAAGAAUUGAAAAGUCCCAUUUACUUAAUGAUCAUUUUUCACCAGCUUCAACCCUCAAGAAUCAGGGUAAAGGGACUUUCAAGGGACUUUAAGGAUUCAAGAACCUCUUCGGGACAAGCUGCCAACGAACUCUCACGGCGUGACGUGGAUGCAUCGGAGAAAAAGACGUGCAAGGCAAUAAACGCCCGUUUCAAGGAACCAACCUGUGUCUGUUGUGAAGAGAGCUACAGUGAGAACUGGCCUGCUCAACACGGGUAGGAGAGACAACAAGACCGCCGCGGGUAACGACGCAACGAAGAUCCAGCAGAUCAGAUAAGCAAAGCCCAUGACAUUGUCGGCUUAGGAGAGCCAGAGGAGAGCCAACAAUAUAACUAGCUAACUAGUCAUAGCCAGCUACCUUAAGAGCUGGAAAAGGAUUAUCCACUUAAAGGCUGACAUCAAUAAAUCAACAAUCAAAUAAUGUUCUUACCCGUGACAUCUGCUAGCAUGACAGAGUUUCCCAACUCUGAGUUAUUUAAAUUCUCUUUGCUAGUAUCAUCAUUGUGUCUGUGAGCUGGUUACACCCAAAAGGAAGAAGAAAAUCAUGUAAAGUAACUUGGCACGGACUUACGUGCAGAAUAAUACGUUUUGUGACAGGCUGGUUUUAGUGACAUGCGACUAGGCUAUGGGACUGUAGCUGGAUGUAUCUCAAGAAUCGGGACAUAGCAGCAAUGUAGGGUUCUGGCUAUCAUGGUUGGAGAAAAUAGCUGUUGUACAUAACUCUGAAGAUGUGAAAAAAAAAGAGGAGAAAAAAGGACAUAUGGCGCCGGAGGGGAUAGCUGCCAUUACACGGCUCCUAACCAAAUGUGCUAUUUUUUUCCCGCAUUAUUUGUAACUCAUUUUGUGCAUAAUGUUGCUGCUACCGUCUCGUAACCGAAAAGAGCUUCCGGACAUCAUAACAGAUUACUCACCUCAAACUGGACAAAGGUUUUUUUCUUUAAUGAAUCCGACGUGAAGGAUAUACUGCUUUGUCGAGACAAGGCCCAAAUCCCUGUCAUCCGAGUGAAGAAAAGACAGAGAAAAAUGGGGAGGAGGGUGAGGUGCCUUGUAGGAAUUCGCAGAUGAGUAGGUAAACCACCAAUACCCUCUGUGUUAUUGGCCAACAUGCAAUCAUUGGAAAACAAACUGGACGAUCUACGAUUAAGAAUAUACUACCAGGCCUCCCGGGUGGUGCAGUGGUCUAAGGCACUGCAUCGCAGUGCUAGCUGUGCCACUAGAGAUUCUGGGUUUGAGUCCAGGCUCUGUCGCAGCCGGCUGCGACUGGGAGGCCCAUGAGGCGGCGCACAAUUGGCCCAGCAUCGUCCGGGUUAGGGAGGGUUUGGCUGGCAGGGACAUCCUUGUCUCAUCGCGCACUAGUGUCUCCUGUGGCGGGCCGGGCGCAGUGCACACUGACACGGUCGCCAGGUGUACGGUGUUUCCUCCGACACAUUGGUGCGGCUGACUUCUGGGUUGGAUGGACAUUGUGUCAAGAACCAGUGCAGCUUGGUUGUGUUGUGUUUCGGAGGACGCAUGGCUCUCGACCUUCGCCUCUCCCGAGUCCGUAUGGGAGUUGCAGCGAUGAGACGACUGUAACUACUACCAAUUGGAUACCACGAAAUUGGGGAGAAAAAAGGGGUGAAAAAUACAACAAAAAUGUUUUAUAAAAAAAGAA